GUUGUGUUGUGUCUAUUGUAGUCGAACCUGCUGUUGUACCCCUAUUGAGGGUGGAUAAAAUCGAUAUCAUGUUUCUCAUGGCAAACCGCGGUGUCGCUGGCGGGAAAACACUCUCGAACCGUAAACGGAGCAAACGAGUUGCAAAAAGUUGUUCUCCCCAGGCAGCCGUAUAAGGCGGCAAAAAAAAAGGUCAAGGGUAUCACGUAGACACCGCGCGACGGUGAGGUACGCGUCACGAUCAAUCAAGAAGGCACUAGAUCCAUCAAUUGUGGCACUCAACUCACUCAAUCUUCACUCACUGGCUGCUGGGCGAGCUAGCGUUGAACUUCGUUUAACGAUCAUUUCCCCGAGGAUCGUAUGGAAAAUACCGCGCGCUUGAGGAGGACCUGUCCACGCCGUCUGUGCACUUACUCACCUCACAGAGAGGGGCGACACUUGCCCUUAUGAUCGACACGAUAGCCCGGUUUGCAGACCGUCGGUGCAAGAAGAAUGUUUAUCUGCAAAAAACACACAUACGGUAGGGUUUUUACGAACAUUCCUCACCCCGAUGCAGCCCACCCCGUUACCCGUACCAUCGACGGUAGAUGUCCGCCAUCCGAAUCCGAUCCUUCCGUUUCCUGCUGCUGCUGCUCCGUAACCGGUGCCGCUUCUUCGUUCGCUUCCGUUUCAGCUUCCGGUGCCGGUGUGAUUUGAUCUUCCUG